UCUCUAUGUCUGCCGAAAGCAAAAAGCUUCGGUAUUUCGCUGUGUGCGGUAAAAAUUUAUCAAUUUUCAUUUUCAGUUUCAUUCCGACUGUUUAGGGCGGUUCCGCAAGCAGGUUGCAAAGUAGUUAAAGGAUGUGUUAACAUUUCAGCCAAACUGUAAAAGAAUCCACAAAUCACAACCAACCAACAAAAAAAGUUACAAAAUUGUAAAAUUGAAUGCUUUAAAACAUAACGAGAAUAUUCAAGAAAACCAAAUUGGAAACAGAAAGUGUGAAAAAUUUACAGUUUUUGCCAAAAGAAAAAUUCCUUGCAUAGUGUCAAAAAAAAAAGGAAAAACCAAAAAAAUGUGAGCAAAAGCUUCAAAGUCUACUGCCAUAAACGGUAUGCUGAUUACAUGAGUGGUUGAAAACAUUUUGAGAAGCUAAAAAUCCAAAAAAAUUUGGUGUUCUUGGAAAAUAAAAUGAAAUAUACCUAAUUGAAAUUCAAUGUAGCCGAACAUUCCUUCUGGCUAAAGUGUGAUGCAUCAUAUUCAAUUUAACAUUUUUGUAUAGUGAAGCAAAAAAAGAAACCCCCCCAAAAAAAAAACACACAACUUUCUUGCAUUUGUGCCUUUGUUUUCGUGUGCAACGCAAAUAAGAAAGAUUCAAAUCAAAUAUACAAAAAUAUAGCAAACUAUUUGAACAUUAAAAAUUAGCUCUCAAAAGAAAAAAAUCGUUUUAAAAAAUUUAAACAAUUACUCGAAUUAAAUCAAAAAUAAAAAAAUUUAGAAACUAAAAACCUUUUACAGCAAAAACCUAACCAUGCAUCAACAAUAGCGACGAAUUUUCAACUUCAAUACAUGGACAUCCAUAACACUUAAGCUUUAAUCAAUUCCAACCAUCUGCAAUUGCAUGGGGCAACGAGAAGGUGAAGGCAACCUAAAACACUUCGCAUAGAGAAGAUAAUUCGUCCUUCUACUGCUGCUGC